UCCCUCGGCGAACAAGCGUCCUCUGGUGAAUAGGAUUUUCUAGGGUCCUCCAGCAACCAGGCCCUCGUAUUCCAGGUUCUAAACCGACCAGGUGUCCUCUGGGUCCCACGGUGAAAAAUCUUUGUGUCUCGACAACCAGUGUACUCUGCGUCAUACAGCAAUCAGGAAACAGGGUCCCUCGGCGAACAAGCAUCCUUGGGUUCCUCUGGUGCAAAGGCUUUUCCCGGGUCCUCUAGCAACCAGGCCCUCGUAUUCCAGGUUCUAAACCGACCAGGUGUCCUCUGGGUCCCACGGUGAAAAAUCUUUGUGCCUCGACAACCAGUGUACUCUGCGUCAUACAGCAAUCAGGAAACAGGGUCCCUCGGCGAACAAGCAUCCUUGGGUUCCUCUGGUGCAAAGGCUUUUCCCGGGUCCUCCAGCAACCAGGCCCUCGUAUUCCAGGUUCUAAACUGACCAGGUGUCCUCUGGGUCCCACGGCGAAAAAUCUUUGUGACUCGACAACCAGUGCCCUCUGCAUCAUACACCAAUCAGAAAAUAGCAUCCCUUGGCGAACAAGCAUCCUCAGGUUCCUCUGGCGAAUAGGAUUUUCUAGGGUCCUCCAGCAACCAGGCCCUCGUAUUCCAGGUUCUAAACCGACCAGGUGUCCUUUGGGUCCCACGGCGAAAAAUCAUUGUGCCUCGACAACCAGUGCCCUCUGCAUCAUACAGCAAUCAGGAAACAGGGUCCCUCGGCGAACAAGCGCCCUCUGCUUCCUCUGGCGAAUAGGAUUUUCUAGGGUCCUCCAGCAACCAGGUC